GCCUACUUCGACGAUGUGUGGAAGAAAUGAGCAUAAGAAAACCGAAAGGUUACAAGAAGGUGGCUGACUGGUUUGUGUUUAUAACCUGAUGAAGACCCUUUGGCUGCUGUAAUGUUGCACAAGACUCAUCUAGAGUACCUCAAUCUAGUGGUCUAGUGAAUUGAGAGGAAGAGGGUGUUGACUGUACUGUAAGAAGAGGUGAAAUCCCUGUAAAAAUCCUAGCGCAGGAAAAAAGUGUUGAAGAUCAGCCAGAAUGACGAUUCUCAAACGGUUCAAUGUGAAUGUAACAAGCGAAACUUCGACUGUGGUGUCAACUUAUCUGAAUGGAAUAUGAAUGUUCUUGUUUAAUUUUUAGUAAAUGAAUAUAAAGACCUGC
rnacentral:lncRNA from 1 species